AGUACGUCGAAGGGUGCCGUUUCUAGCCAGGCUGUUAUCCAGGACCGGGCUAAGAGUGUAGUUUCAGUGUACGACUUGAGUAAGUGUGCUGGCCUUAUCAGUUGUUAUGACUUGUCUGCACUGAUCGCACGACAGACAGACAGACAGACAGUGAACUUUAUUUGAUCCUGAGGAGCUUCCGCGGGGGCCCCUAUGGGGUACCCGCGGAAGCCGCUGGCCGCGUCCAAGUCGGGGCAGGAAUACCGGGACGUUCCGCCCUUUCUUGGGCCCUCUGGAUUGCCUGUAGUUGUGUGUGCAGCGAUGGGCUCCGGAGUGCCUCUUCCCAGUUGGCUUCGCUGGAUAGAGGGCCGUUAGGUAACGCGGGGCAUUGCCAGAGCAUGUGCGCUAAGGAACAAUAAAUCUCAUUACAGUCCGGACAGCUUGAAUCGAUGUCUGUGGAGAUACGGCUGAGAAAGCCCCGCGAGGGGAAUCAGCCCGUCUGAAGCAUUCUAAGUAUAACUGACUGAGACCUGUAUAACUUCGGGUGAGGAAGAGGAUAGGCCCUUCUACUAAGCCGAUAGUGAGAGGUCAUUUCGUGGAAAGUAAGGAGCGGAUCGUUCUGCUGGAUUUCAUCCGGUCCCCAUAAGGCUUCCAUGCCGGCGCGGCGCGUUAGAUCUCGCGCACGGUCAUGGGAAAGCUCGUUGAGGUUCGAUAUGUUCUGAUGAACGUCCGCACCGAUAUGGGCGGGAAACCAAGAGAUGAAGUGAGUGCCAGGGUUUGUUCUCUUUUCCAGAAUGGAGGCAGCCUCUCGGGCUAGGUUACCCGAUUCGAAAGCUUUGAUGGCCGCUCGUGAGUCUGAAAACGUUGGUGCGCGAGGGGUCGGUCAUGGCCAGGGCUAUGGCGACCUAUUCCGCGACUCCGCUCGUAGCUAACCUAACCGAGGCUGAGGAGUGUAAUUCCCCUUUGCCGUCAAUGAUUGCCAGCGCGAAUGUGCUAGACUUGCCGUACUGAGCCGCGUCGACAAAGACAGUCGAAUCUUGAUUCUCGCCGGCCUUCUGUAAAAUCGCCCGUGCUCGGGCCUUUCGCCUCCCUACAUUCUAUUGUGGGUGCAUAUAUUCUGAGGAAAUGGGCUGACCACAAAGGUUGUCCGGGCCUCCCUGGAUAAGGUGAUUUCCUGUUCGUUGAGAAUUGUGGGAGCCAUGCCAGCCCCAUCUAGGAUGCGUCUCCCUGCCCUGGUUGACGAGAGCCUGACUGUCUGAGCGGUGACGUGCGCUUCGAUCACUUCAUCAAUGUCGUUGUGCAUACCGAGUUUGCUUAACCUGUCCGUGCAAGUGAUUACUGGUAACCCCAGUAAUUUUUGAUGCUCUUGCGCAUGAGAGUGUUAAGCUUAUUCUUUUCGGUUUUGGUCCAGUUAAGGGCCGAGGCUACAUAGUUGAUGUGACUCAUUAGGAAAGUGUGAUGGAUCCUGAGGAGGUUGUCUUCACCUAGUCUCUUCUUUCGUCCGGAUACUCUAGCAACGAGUCUCAGCAUACUUUCGGUUUUGGCCUUGAUGCGCGUGAGCGUUUUCGCGUUACAUCCUCUCGCGUCAAUCAGUAAUUUUGGGAUUCGGAUAUAUUCGACUUGAGGAAUGUGCUGCUCGUUUCUUGCAAAGAGGGAUAUCGGAAGUUGGUUAAGGGGGGGUGAGCCCCCUAACACCUUGCCUGGCCGGCCUGUAUAGUAACAAUUAAGAUUUGUUUGGGGACAGUUGGAGGCCUGUGUCUUCCAGGUAGGACUCCGUUGCGUCUAGGGCUGAUUGCAGCGCGUGCUCUACUUAUGCAAGUGAUCCUCCCAGGCACCAGGUCGUGAUAUCGUCCGCGUAUAGCCAGUUGCCUAUAUUAGGAGGGGAUCUGCGCCUCUCCGAUAAGCCCUUCAUGACUAUGUUGAAUAGCAAGGGGGAGAUGACUGCUCCUUGGGGAGUGCCUCUGGCCCCUAGUGCGAACUCAUGUGGACUUGAGUAGCGCAAUCCUGAUGGUGGCUGUUCGGUUCAUGAGGAAUGAUCUAACAAAAGCCUGAAACUUUGCUCCCAGACCUAGGCUGGUCGUGGCCUGCAGGACAAAUCGAUGAGAUACUGUGUCAAAGGCCUUGGUCAGGUCAAGGGAUAAGAUCCCCCUAACGUCCUUAGUGCUAUUAUCGAAAAUGUGCUUAAGGAGUACCAUUACAUCCUGUGUGGAAAGGCCGGGCCUGAAGCCGACCAUGUUGUGCGGGAAUAGUUCCUUGCGUUCUGUGUAAUCCGAGAUCCUGUGGAGGAUCGCAUGCUCCGCUACCUUGUCUACGCAAGAGGUUAGCAAUAUCGGCCUUAGGUUGUCAAGGUUUAGGGGCUUACCCGGUUUCGGGAUAAGCACAACCUAGGCCGCUUUCCACUCGUCCGGGACGCAUCCGUUUUCCCAAGUCUUGUUGAUAUCUUUCGUUAGCAGCUCAGUUGACCUAUCAUCCAGGUUCCUUAGCAGUCUGAGAUGCCGUCCGGACCUGAGGCCGACCUGCUAUUUAAGAUGUGAAGUAUUGUUCUCAUUUCCGACUCCGUAAAGGGGUCAUCGAGCCCCGUUACCGCGUCACAUUCGAUGCUGGGAUACUCCUCUGAGCGUGCUGCGCCUAGUGGGAGAUAUCUAUUGGCUACCUCGUCUAAGAGCGUUUGUUCUGUUCCUCGUUCUUGUUUGUGCCUGUGAAUGAGGCGGCACAAUGUCUGUCUUUGAUUGCCUUUGGUUUGUGUGUCAUCUAGCAUGUGUUUAAGGAGAUUCCAUUUUCCCCUUGUGCGUAUGCGCCCAUUGACUGCUGAGCAGAUUUCACCCCACUGUAGCCUAGCUAACUCGGUGCAGUACUGUUCAAUCUCCCUGUUAAGUGCGGCAACCCUCUUCUUUCGCAACCUUCGGUUCAGCCAUUGUGUUUUCCAUCGCCUCAAAAUGGAGGCUUUGGUUUCCAAGGGAUGUGCGAGGUGCGGGUCCAUCCUUGAAACCUCGAGCUCGGUUUGAAUAGUUUUUGUAGCCUUUUCAACGUCUGAUCUGAGUGUCUCGACGAGUUCGCUGAAGCUCCAUGUCCUCCUUUCUGAGCUUACGGAAAGCAUCCCAGUCCGUCACUCUAAAUUCCCUGGCCUGGAAGGCUCUGACCUGAAGGGUAACACUAAUGAUGAAGUGAUCGCUGCCCAGGUUUUCUUGCUUGUUAUCUCAAAUUGUUUGCUCUACAUUUCUGGUAAGGGCGAGAUGGGGGGUUGUGUUUCUAGCCACCGACGUACCCAGUCGUGGGGAAACGGGGAUCGGGGAUGACUGUUAGCGCUAGGAGGUCAUCGACUGCCCGCGCUAGAUUUGUACCCUUAAGGCUCAAUCACACCGGCGACUUGAGGAGGUCGCGCGACCAUUUGCGACUCGUGACCAAAAAGCGACCGAAGGCGGCUGAUGUUCACACCGGCAAGCCCGGCUGAGCGCGCCGCGCAAGUUGCAAUCCCGGAGAUUAUCGUUCUCAGCGAGAACUCUCGGAAUCUACGCAGUUCAAGCGCACUUCGCUCGUCUCCCGGCAACAGCCAUGGAUUUCGAUUCUAGCGAAGUGGAAGACGUCGUCAGUGUACUGAUGUGCUCUGCCGUGGUGUCACUCCUGCCAGCGCGGAAGCCCCCGAAAAAGAAGCGACGCUGGUGGGUGCGCCCGUGCCUCCGUUCGCGAGAAGUGGCCGGCCACGCAAGCCGCCUCCUGCCCGAACUCCGCGCCCAUGACGAGGAGUAUUAUCGAGACUUCCUGCGAAUGCCGCCCAGCACAUUCGACACGUUGCUGGAACUGCUGCGCCCCAGCAUCACAAAGGAAGACACUAACUACAGGCCUGCAGUCUCGGCUCAUGAUCGCCUAGCCAUGACCGUCAGGUUCUUGGCCACAGGAGAGACGCAGCGGGACAUGUCGUUCAACUUCCUCUGUAUCUUCAGCAUCCGCAAGGAGCUGAUAUGAAUGGUUUAAGGUAUCCGCAGAGUUUGAGGAGCGGUGGAAUAUGCCAUACUGCGUCGGGGCAAUUGAUGGGAAGCACGUGAACGUUGAGUGCCCCGCAAAUUCUGGAACCCUUGACCAUAACUAAAAGGGUUCAUUCAGCAAAUCACUCCUUGUAGUCUGCGACGCACAAUACAGGUUCCUGUACAUGGAAAUUGGCCACAGUGGCAGCGAGAGUGACGGCGGCAUUUUUUCACGGUCCACUCUACAGAAAGAUUACCAGAGGGACAUUAGGGCUGCCACCGCCAAGACCUGUUGGGAGUGAGGGGCUUCUCCCAUACUUCCUUGUUGGCGAUGAGGCCUUGCCGCUCAAGGAAUAUACAUGAUGUGGCCAUACCCACGGCGGAGUAGCACUGCAUGAAGACUCACGCGAGACGUACAAGCGGCGAGUUUUCAACUACCGCUUGAGCAGGGCCCGGCGAGUCAUCGAAAACGUCUUUGGAAUCCUGGCACAACGGUGGAGAACUCUGCUGCGACCGUUCAAAGCCAAGACCGACAAUAUUAGUAGAUAUGUGGGAGCCUGCAUAGUGCUGCACAAUUUUUUGAUGAAGGAGUCAUCAGCCUCUUCUGCUGCAUACUGUCCGCCAGGUUCUGCUGACAGCGAGGACUGGGAAGGGCGACUUUCCCCUGGCAGCUGGAAGGAGGAGGAAUCAGCCGGUGGUGCCCUCUUGCCAUCAAAGUCUACUGGGUGUCACGCUGCUCGGUGCGCAGGUUACUUGUAUUUCAAAAUAUGUUUGCUCUUAGAAAUUUGAAAGGUGGGCAAAUUAAACCUGGCAUAUGAUGUUUAUAGGUAGGCGAAAGAAGUUCGGGACACACUGGCACACCACUUCAUCACAGCCGGCCAAGUUCCCUGGCAAGAUAGUGUGUUGUCAAAUAAGUUUAUUCAUAACAAACGUUUGCAUUCUACAUAGGAAUUUCUUGUGCAAAAAAUGUCACAAAUGCACAGGGAAACAAGCAAUGGGAGUGUCAUAGGAAGUUAAUCCUUGAAAUUAAAAUAUCACAUAUGUCUUACCUGCACACAUAACAGUAUUGCAUAUUCAUCUAUGUUUGACAAAGGCACACGUGCACAAAUAUCACAAUGACACCUCGAAUACAAGGCAAUAAUUGGUAAAAAAAAGUUGGUACAGUUGCAGUAGCAGCUUAAAAUAUUCCUUAAUAUUUCUGACUGUGUGGUGAUAAUACAACUACAAAGCUCACCACAGAUCACUGCAAAAGGUUACUGUAAGGCACUGUUUAAAAAAAAAAGUUUUCACAAUACUAAAGAAAAGUAUGAGGAAAAUACAAAAAAUAACCUAAAAAUAUGCUGAUGAUAAUGACUAGAAUAUGCACCAGCAUCCGAGGUAAAUGUUCCUUUUAAUUGCUGGUGUUCCUAUUUUCCACUUCUGUCUGAUAUAUCAUUGACUCCAUCAGGUGCAUCAGGUCUUGCGCUACAUGAAUUGGCAGUGCCCGCAGGCGCGCAUGAGUUCUCAGCGCAAAAUACGCAAUGUCGUCCCUUUUGUUUGCGGUUUCGUGCUCCCUUAGUUGCACUAGAUGCUCCAUACAGGCUUGCGCAACAGCCUCGUUGCUUGAGCUCUCACCUGCAUGGUUGUAGAGGAAGUAUGUCAUCUUGGAUGCAUCAAUACUCAUGCUCCAGGCGCACUAUUUCUUGCUAUUUCUUGCACUUGGUGGCAUGCGUAGCUUUGUUGCCGAAAUGUAGCUUAAAUUUUUGUAGAUUUAUGUUCGGUAAACAUUACACGUCUCUCACCUCGAACCUUCAGUUUGUUUGCGAUUCCUCGAUGUCCUCGGGCUGCAGGCAGUAAAGCGUAGUGUGUUAGGUUGUACAAAAAAAAGCAUUCUUGCAACCACUUCAAAGGGUUUCUUAUUGGUAGAAAAUUGAAAACAUUGCUCACAUACCGUUUCGGUGGUGGCACCUCUACUGUUUCCACAGGUGUUUGUUCUGUGGUAUCUCUGCAAAAUCAACCACUAUUACAGCACAGCAGGCAGUAAGCAUAGCGUGUUAUGUUGUACAAGAAUGAUGUCAUGCAAGAAUUAUUAAGCGUUGCUGAUUGCUGGAACUUUUAUCAUCUUUGCUCACAUUAGCGCUGAUAGUAUCUGCGCUGGCUCCUCUCCUAUGUCUUCUCUGUAAUCUCUGCAAAAGAAACCACUAUUACAGCACAGCUGGAUUCAACAUCAUUGCGUCGUUAAGCAUAACCUCUGAAAAACCAGGUGCAUUUCUCAGUACUUCUGCGAAUUCAGAGAGCUAAGAAACAUGGAAAUUACAUUUCAUGCAGUAAUCCACACAAACAUGAUUGUGUUAACAGUAUAUUAAAUUUAAAGUUUUCUUUACGCAGAAUUGCAGGUCUUCAUGUCUGCUUCCAGGCGUCCGAGGAAACCCCUGGUUGGUUGCCACCUGUUACUUCUGCUCGGCUGCAAUGACAGUGGAAAAGCAACCUUUUACAUAUGACAUUGCUACAUGCAGAUGCCAUUACCAGUGGUCAGCUGCCUGCCAGUCAUUCAUGCCUACUCACCUCACAUUACGCACAUGCUGUAGUAUAAGCGAUGUGUAUUUCAGUUCACCUCAUAAGAAAACAACAUUCUCAAUGUUUUCUGUUGUACUACUCUUUCAGUUGCUCUAAAUGGUGUUUUACUUUUACUACUUUUUGACUUGUACUUGGUUAUAGUUCCUUGUCAUUUUUGCGUUUCUUUCGUUACUCAAUCUUCAUAUAAUAAUGUUAUUUUUAUGCCCUUUUUCAGUCAACUAUAUAUUCCUUUUAUGUAUUUGCCUUGUACUGCGUCUAUUGCACCGUUGCUCUGAUUUAUUAUUUCUGUACUGUAUUUAUAUUGAUAUGUCCCUCUCACCCAUGCUCUUCGGGGCCUGUGAGGAAUCAUGAAAAAAAUAUAGUAUGAGAUGUACCAGCAUACAAGCUAUGUUUUGAAAUGUUGUGAAUUAGCACUUUCUGCCCUCAUAAGUACAAUCUUGUAAAGUUGUCAAGGUUCCACUUACGGUUAGGUUUACGUUACGGUCACCCAUUGCAUGGCAGAAACUACAUAGUUUACGCCUAUCUUAAAUGUAGGCUGCAAUUUAUACGUUACCUUGAUCGAGUGUCCUCCAUGCUGCACAGUAAAAGUUCACCGUCGCAAACCUGAUUUUUGUGGCUUGAUCCAGCUUAUUAAAUUUAUAGGUCUUGCACAUCUUAAUGCCAUGACAUGCAGGUGCUCAAGGGCUACUGUAUUUUUUGGACAAUAAGUUUCUUUUUGCAAGGUUUCGUCCGAGUGUGUUGCACAAUGACGAGACUUAAAUAGCAUAAAACCAUGGACGAUAGCGAAACCAAUAUAGGCGGUUUUUUUUUCCUGAGCACUCUAUGCCGCAGGAGUAGUGCCAGGAAGGUCAACACCUUGUAAAAGUUAUUGAGACGUCGACGACGGUGACUCAGCAAUGCUGCCGGUUGAAGUAGCUUUGACUAGUAUAGCUGCGACAGAGAAAGAUGCCUUCGAUGGCUUCAACAGAAGUCCAAUAAGCGUUCGUUUUGCACACUGUGAGGAGUGUUGGCUGAACUUUCUUUGCCGCUAGAAUUAGCAGCUCCUAAAACUUUUUACAGAAAUUUAGUGAACUUAAGUAUAGCAUUUUGAGAUUAGCGUACAAGCAUGCAUACCUAAUCAUGUUUCAUCAUGCCAACCAACUUAAUAUAGUCUCACUCCGGUGUGAUUUGUAGAUAAAUGUUUUCUUUGAAAAUUGCUAAGAGUUCAACUUCGGACUAUACAGAGGUGCAACGUAUAGUAAUGAGUAUAUUGAAAUAAUGCUUUGUUUGCGAUAAAUAAGUUAAUUUGAGGCUACAGAAAUUUUGUUAUUGUCCAUUGCCUGCUAGCGCAAACAGCAUUUGAAUGUAUGCUGAGCACGCAUGUCUCCUGUGAAACUUUCAUUUGUCUGUGCGUUUGCAGGCAUGAAAAUAAAAUGUUUCAUUGCGAGAACAAAACAAACUUACACUACAGGUUCUGAUGCCACCUCCGUUAAUUCCAGCAUGGCCUCGAAGUGGGGCGAUUUAAUGGUGGGGACAUCAACCGCUCCUGCACCACUACGCUGCUUAUCGCGCACCUCCUGUUGCUUCCUCUUGAAAAUGUCUCUCAAGUUUUUAAACUUUUUUUUCUGCAAAGGUUCUUGCAAAAUAAAUAUGCAAUUGUACGUUGACAGCAACAUGAGAUCACACGGAGUAAAGUAUGCUAUAAAGAAGCCUCUUCUCUCCGUUUCUUCGUAGUGCGUUAGCCGCAAUAUUUAUGAGAAAGAUGCCUUCGAUGGCUUCAACAAAAGUCCAAUAAGCGUUCGUUUUGCACACUGUGAGGAGUGUUGGCUGAACUUUCUUUGCCGCUAGAAUUAGCAGCUCCUAAAAAUUUUUACAGAAUUUUAGUGAACUUAAGUAUAGCAUUUUGAGAUUAGCGUACAAGCAUGCAUACCUAAUCCUGUUUCAUCAUGCCAACCAACUUAAUAUAGUCUCACUCCGGUGUGAUUUGUAGAUAAAUGUUUUCUUUGAAAAUUGCUAAGAGUUCAACUUCGGACUAUACAGAGGUGCAACGUAUAGUAAUGAGUAUAUUGAAAUAAUGCUUUGUUUGCGAUAAAUAAGUUAAUUUGAGGCUACAGAAAUUUUGUUAUUGUCCAUUGCCUGCUAGCGCAAACAGCAUUUGAAUGUAUGCUGAGCACGCAUGUCUCCUGUGAAACUUUCAUUUGUCUGUGCGUUUGCAGGCAUGAAAAUAAAAUGUUUCAUUGCGAGAACAAAACAAACUUACACUACAGGUUCUGAUGCCACCUCCGUUAAUUCCAGCAUGGCCUCGAAGUGGGGCGAUUUAAUGGUGGGGACAUCAACCGCUCCUGCACCACUACGCUGCUUAUCGCGCACCUCCUGUUGCUUCCUCUUGAAAAUGUCUCUCAAGUUUUUAAACUUUUUUUUCUGCAAAGGUUCUUGCAAAAUAAAUAUGCAAUUGUACGUUGACAGCAACAUGAGAUCACACGGAGUAAAGUAUGCUAUAAAGAAG